ensembl:lncRNA
AACAUGGGUGCAGUUGUUCCAGCUCUAUGCAUCUCUGAUACACCAUAGCAGUGGCUGCCUCGUCUAGGACAUGACCCCACACCUAGCUCUGGCUGGAUCAGUCCAGCCAGGUCGCACACAGAGGAUGCAGUAACAGCAUUUUAGACAGCCAGGAUAAAAUUUAGAUUCUUCUUGAGCUGUCGAAAAUGGCAUCACUUUCUGAGUCAUUUAUUAUAAAUAGCAGCAUGAAGCAGUUUGUCUGGAUUUUAUGGAGGGAAUGGCCUGGAAGCUAAAUCAUAACCAAAAUUGUAAUAAAAAGAAGAUGAAAAAUGUACAAACAAACCAUAUUAAAAAUUGCUUAUUACAUUUCGGUAUCCUCAAGAAGUUGUUUACUGUGUAUUUCUUCUUUUCUGAUGUGAGAUCUACAUUUCAUUUUUCCUUUCUGUCAAACCUCUUUCACUCACGGUCUCUAGUUUAAAUACUUUCUCCGUGGCAGCGAUUGUAAUUCUGUGCUGUUUCCUCAUCUGCUCCCUCUCAG